GAUGAACGCUGGCGGCGUGCCUAAUACAUGCAAGUCGAGCGAACGGACGAGAAGCUUGCUUCUCUGAUGUUAUCGGCGGACGGGUGAGUAACACGUGGAUAACCUACCUAUAAGACUGGGAUAACUUCGGGAAACCGGAGCUAAUACCGGAUAAUAUUUUGAACCGCAUGGUUCAAAAGUGAAAGACGGUCUUGCUGUCACUUAUAGAUGGAUCCGCGCUGCAUUAGCUAGUUGGUAAGGUAACGGCUUACCAAGGCAACGAUGCAUAGCCGACCUGAGAGGGUGAUCGGCCACACUGGAACUGAGACACGGUCCAGACUCCUACGGGAGGCAGCAGUAGGGAAUCUUCCGCAAUGGGCGAAAGCCUGACGGAGCAACGCCGCGUGAGUGAUGAAGGUCUUCGGAUCGUAAAACUCUGUUAUUAGGGAAGAACAUAUGUGUAAGUAACUGUGCACAUCUUGACGGUGCCUAAUCAGAAAGCCACGGCUAACUACGUG
rnacentral:rRNA from 1 species